AGAGUUUGAUCAUGGCUCAGGAUGAACGCUGGCGGCGUGCCUAAUACAUGCAAGUCGUACGCUUUGUCUUUAAUUGAUAUGAAGAGCUUGCUCUGAUUUGAUUUUAUCCGACAAAGAGUGGCGAACGGGUGAGUAACACGUGGGUAACCUACCUCUUAGCAGGGGAUAACAUUUGGAAACAAGUGCUAAUACCGUAUAACACUAACAACCGCAUGGUUGUUAGUUGAAAGAUGGUUCUGCUAUCACUAAGAGAUGGACCCGCGGUGCAUUAGCUAGUUGGUAAGGUAAUGGCUUACCAAGGCGAUGAUGCGUAGCCGAGUUGAGAGACUGAUCGGCCACAAUGGGACUGAGACACGGCCCAUACUCCUACGGGAGGCAGCAGUAGGGAAUCUUCCACAAUGGGCGCAAGCCUGAUGGAGCAACGCCGCGUGCGUGAUGAAGGGUUUCGGCUCGUAAAACACUGUUAUAAGAGAAGAACGACAUUGAGAGUAACUGUUCAGUGUGUGACGGUAUCUUAUCAGAAAGGAACGGCUAAAUACGUGCCAGCAGCCGCGGUAAUACGUAUGUUCCAAGCGUUAUCCGGAUUUAUUGGGCGUAAAGCGAGCGCAGACGGUUAUUUAAGUCUGAAGUGAAAGCCCUCAGCUCAACUGAGGAAGGGCUUUGGAAACUGGAUAACUUGAGUGCAGUAGAGGAAAGUGGAACUCCAUGUGUAGCGGUGAAAUGCGUAGAUAUAUGGAAGAACACCGGUGGCGAAAGCGGCUUUCUGGACUGUAACUGACGUUGAGGCUCGAAAGUGUGGGUAGCAAACAGGAUUAGAUACCCUGGUAGUCCACACCGUAAACGAUGAGUGCUAGAUGUUCGAGGGUUUCCGCCCUUGAGUGUCGCAGCUAACGCAUUAAGCACUCCGCCUGGGGAG
rnacentral:rRNA from 1 species